AUGCGAUGGGCGCCACGGCGCCGGAUGAAUUUGGUCCGCAGCCAGUUGUUCUGGCUUGACUCAAAGACAUUGCACACCUGCUUAUAUCAAAUUCUCAGACACCGGAAUGCCAGCCUUGGCUGGGGUCCCUCUUCAACCUCUGGGGACCCACCAUUUGCCUUACUGGCCUCGGGACACAUGCCGUGUUGGUGCCCUCCCUCUUCUCCAGGAACAAGCAGUCAUUCCUUAUACCAUGUCCCAUCCUGGAGUCCCUCCUCCAGUGUCCAGCCAACUCCACCCCAGAAUGAAGCCCUGAAGAGGGGAGUGAAGAACAGACUUCAGAGUGUACUUGUCACAUGCUCUGUGGGGUUCCAGAGACUCAAAACAGUGUCAGAACCAGUAGCCGGUGGGGAAAUCGCCACACAACUCCAUAGGCCUUGGAGAUCCUGUUAUCCCCAGAUGCAUCUUAAUGUCUGUUCUAUACCAGGCACUGACCUGGGUACUGCAAGAGAGAAAACAAUGGCUCGAUGGUGAGGAGGCCAGUGAGAUGGCUCAGCAGAACUCAGUACAGGACCAGCAAGAAGACUCCGCUGGGAAAAGUACUUGCCACCAAGUUUGAUGCUCUGAGUUUGAGCCCCAGGACUCAACACGACAGAAAGAGAAAACUGACUCCCCCAAGUUGUCCUCUGACUCUCAUAUAUAUACACCAUGGCAUGUGCAUAUGGGUGUAUGGAUAACACAUGUACACUAAAAUAAUUAAAAUGUAAAAUUUACAAAAAAAAAA